AACGAGAUUGCAAAUUGGCGUCGCCUCUGCCCGUGGCCGCACACCACACCAUAGCCGCCAGCAGCAAAGCAGUGUCGAGGCGCUGGAGCGCCGCCCUUCGCCACCUUCCAGCCCAUGGUCUCCGCCAGCUGCUAGCCCUCCGCUCACUGCUCGUUGGUCUGCGCUAUGCUGCGGCCACGCUUCCGGCCGCCGCCCAUAGGGCAGAUCCAGGAGGGGGAACUGCGGUGACCACCGGAGCCAGAGGUUCGAGCCGCCGCCGAGGGUGCGGGCCGCGAGAGGCGCUUGGCUGUGGGCCUGAACGGCCAGCAGCGGCGAGGCCUGUGCGGGUGGGCGGCGGUGCGGCCUAGCGUGGUGCGGCCUAGCGUGGCGCGGGAGUCGGGAGGUGGGCGGGCUGCGGACUUGCGGCGCAGCGACGACCAACGGAGCAGGAGGUCCGAGCCGCCGACGGCAUGGGCGGCGCAUGGCUGCAGGGCCAGCCGGACUAGCCGUGGCAACUACUCGGCUGCGGGGCGGCGCGGCGGUUGCUGAGGGCGCCGGCGGAGAAUAACCAGUGACCAGCCAGUUGCUGGGUUGCAUUUGAUUUCAUUUUACUGUAUUUGAUUGCGUUUUCCAGCGUUGCAACUUGCAAAAUUUAUUGCAUAGAUAGUUUUUAGAAUGUAGAUGGAAAAUGAGAUGAUGCUCUUUUACAAUCAUGAUAUGCCGUUGAUUUCAACAAUGUCUGCAUCUUAAACUCUUAAUUUUUUUAUUUGUGUGAUACAAGUAUGAACUGUCGAUUAUGGAAUUUUGUGCAUGGUUAAUGUCUUAAUUUUUGAUAUAGGAGUAUGAUCCAUCGUUAUAUUUUCAGAUCUGAAAAUAAAGAGGAAGAAAAGACAUGUGGUUGAUCUUAAGGGUUAUAUUUGAAAAGAGCUGGUUGAAAGAACACAACUUAAAAUAAUAAUCAAGGUGAAACGCCAAGUGUGUCACUGAUGAACAGAAGUUGGGUGAAUACUAGGUUAUUUAGCAAGGAACAUCUAGAUGGGGUCACUGAGUUCUUGAAUUGUCAUACCAAGAUGAGGAGCAAGAAAAUACUAGUUUUCAGGUUGCAGAUCUUGAGAGAGCUUCAAACAACGAACAACCGAGCAACAAUGAAGGUGGUAUUUGUGUUCAGGCUUCCCUAGUUGAUCAAACCCGGAGGGAAAGGGAAUUGGAAGUUGAAGAUAAUGGCUUUGAAGAUGAUGCUGACGAAACUCUAAGACAAUAUGACAGCGAAAAUGAAGGGCCAAUCCAUGAUGAUGGUGAAUAUAGUGAUUUUGAGUAAAUUAUUUGUGUAUGGCUAUUCCUACCAUGACCUGUUGUUAUAAUAUGGCGUUCAUGACAGGAAUGACGUGGCUGAGCUUCGAAUUUGAUGGCUGGUGUUAGUGUAGUUGAACUUUGAGGCUUGAAGGUGUAUGUGGCUGCUAGAACUUGGUGCUAGCUGCUGGUUGCUUGCAGUUUGGCGCUUUUGGUGGCUGGAGUUUUUUUUUUUUUUUUUUUUUUUUUUUUUUUUUUUUUGCGUUGGUUGCUGGGACCUAGGAUUUUUUGGCACUAGUUGCUGGCAGGAUGCAUACCCCAAGUGCAGUGGUUGCUCGAUGGAAUUCUUUUUGUUAGGUGCUGGCAAGAUGCACGCUGAAACUUAGUAGUGGUUGCUUGCUGAAUUUUUUUGGUGCAGGAACUUGGCAGUACCUGUAAGAACUUUGUAGUCGGCUAGGACUCGUUGUAGUUGGAUGGUGGAUAGAUCAUUUUUAAUUUUUAUUCAUGUUUUGUGGCAUUGAAUGGAAAGACGUUGGAAACUGUAUUCUAGAACUUGCUUUUGUAUGUGCUGGGAAAUUAAUUAUGUAUGGAAUGUGAUUAUUCUAU